rnacentral:rRNA from 1 species
AGUGAACGCUGGCGGUAGGCCUAACACAUGCAAGUCGAACGGCAGCACAGGAGAGCUAGCUCUCUGGGUGGCGAGUGGCGGACGGGUGAGGAAUACAUCGGAAUCUACUCUGUCGUGGGGGAUAACGUACGGAAACCUACGCUAAUACCGCAUACGACCUACGGGUGAAAGCAGGGGACCUUCGGGCCUUGCGCGAUUGAAUGAGCCGAUGUCGGAUUAGCUAGUUGGCUGGGUAAAGGCCCACCAAGGCGACGAUCCGUAGCUGGUCUGAGAGGAUGAUCAGCCACACUGGAACUGAGACACAGUCCAGACUCCUACGGGAGGCAGCAGUGGGGAAUAUUGGACAAUGGGCGCAAGCCUGAUCCAGCCAUACCGCGUGGGUGAAGAAGGCCUUCGGGUUGUAAAGCCCUUUUGUUGGGAAAGAAAUCCAGCUGGCUAAUACCCGGUUGGGAUGACGGUACCCAAAGAAUAAGCACCGGCUAACUUCGUGCCAGCCGCCGCCGUAA